rnacentral:rRNA from 1 species
AUUGAACGCUGGCGGCAUGCUUUACACAUGCAAGUCGAGCGGUAACAGGCCGCAAGGUGCUGACGAGUGGCGAACGGGUGAGUAAUGCAUCGGAACGUGCCCAGUCGUGGGGGAUAACGCAGCGAAAGCUGCGCUAAUACCGCAUACGAUCUAUGGAUGAAAGCGGGGGACCGUAAGGCCUCGCGCUAUUGGAGCUGCCGAUGUCAGAUUAGGUAGGUGGUGGGGUAAAGGCUCACCAAGCCAACGAUCUGUAGCUGGUCUGAGAGGACGACCAGCCACACUGGGACUGAGACACGGCCCAGACUCCUACGGGAGGCAGCAGUGGGGAAUUUUGGACAAUGGGCGCAAGCCUGAUCCAGCAAUGCCGCGUGCAGGAAGAAGGCCUUCGGGUUGUAAACUGCUUUUGUACGGAACGAAAAGGCUCUGGUUAAUACCUGGGGCUCAUGACGGUACCGUAAGAAUAAGCACCGGCUAACUACGUGCCAGCCGCCGCGGUAAUAC